rnacentral:rRNA from 1 species
GAUGAACGCUGGCGGCGUGCCUAAUACAUGCAAGUCGAGCGAACAGACGAGGAGCUUGCUCCUCUGACGUUAGCGGCGGACGGGUGAGUCACACGUGGAUACCCUACCUAUAAGACUGGGAUAACUUCGGGAAACCGGAGCUAAUACCGGAUAAUCUAUUGAACCGCAUGGUUCAAUAGUGAAAGACGGUUUUGCUGUCACUUAUAGCUGGAUCCGCGCCGCAUUAGCUAGUUGGUAAGGUAACGGCUUACCAAGGCGACGAUGCGUAGCCGACCUGAGAGAGUGAUCGGCCACACUGGAACUGAGACACGGUCCAGAGGCCUACGGGAGGCAGCAGUAGGGAAUGGGACGCAGUGGGCGAAAGCCUGACGGAGCAACGCCGCGUGAGUGAUGAAGGUCUUCGGAGCGGAAAACUCUGUUAUGAGGGAAGAACAAAUGUGUAAGUAAAUAUGCACGUCGUGACGGUACCUAAUCAGAAAGCCACGGCUAACUACGUG